AGAAUAUGCCAGUAUAUAUAUAUUUAUUGUGCAUUCAGGCUAUCCUGAUGGAAAAAUGCAUGUAUAUUCUUUCUGGAGUCAUACCAGCUCAAAGGGUUUGCUGCUCCCUGAUCUAUCUACUUCCUCACAUCAGUAUUCUCUGCAGAAGGGAGAGGAGCCAGGAGCUGAACAUGAUGACACAGUCAGGAUCUCAUCCCACAGACUGCAAGCAAGAGUAGAAACUUUAAUUUUGCUGGGGAAUGCUUUUAAGGAAGUGUUGCUUACCCUACAUUCUUCUGCUGUGAUAGUUAUCUGA
rnacentral:lncRNA from 1 species